rnacentral:misc_RNA from 1 species
GAUGAAGAACGUAGCGAAAUGCGAUACGUAAUGUGAAUUGCAAAUUCAGUGAAUCAUCGAGUCUUUGAACGCACAUUGCGCCCCCUGGUAUUCCGGGGGGCAUGCCUGUCCGAGCGUCAUUACUGCCCUCAAGCCCGGCUUGUGUGUUGGGCCCCGUCCUCCGAUCCCGGGGGACGGGCCCGAAAGGCAGCGGCGGCACCGCGUCCGGUCCUCGAGCGUAUGGGGCUUUGUCACCCGCUCUGUAGGCCCGGCCGGCGCUUGCCGAUCAACCCCAAUUUUUAUAGGUUGACCUCGGAUCAGGUAGGGAUACCCGCUGAACUUAAGCAUAUCAAUAAGCGGAGGA